rnacentral:misc_RNA from 1 species
GAUGAAGAACGUAGCGAAAUGCGAUAAGUAAUGUGAAUUGCAGAAUUCAGUGAAUCAUCGAGUCUUUGAACGCACAUUGCGCCCCCUGGUAUUCCGGGGGGCAUGCCUGUCCGAGCGUCAUUGCUGCCCUCAAGCACGGCUUGUGUGUUGGGCCCCCGUCCCCGGUUUCCCCCGGGGACGGGCCCGAAAGGCAGCGGCGGCACCGCGUCCGGUCCUCGAGCGUAUGGGGCUUUGUCACCCGCUCUGUAGGCCCGGCCGGCGCCAGCCGACACCCAACUUUAUUUCUAAGGUUGACCUCGGAUCAGGUAGGGAUACCCGCUGAACUUAAGCAUAUCAAUAAGCGGAUGA